rnacentral:ncRNA from 1 species
GAAAGCCGUAUUCGAUGAAAGUCGUAUGUACGGCUUGGAGGGAGAUCUUUCAUUAAUGUUGUUUGAGGAACCAUAUGUGGAGCAAUAUCCUUU